GGCGGCGUGGCCAAAUGGCAAGGCGUCUGGCUACGAACCAGAAGAUUGUGGGUUCGAUCCCCACCGUGACCU
rnacentral:tRNA from 1 species